rnacentral:rRNA from 1 species
GGAUAACCUACCCUUAGGACUGGGAUAACCCUGGGAAACUGGGGAUAAUACUGGAUAGGCAAUUAUUCCUGUAAUGGUUUUUUGUUUAAAUGUUUUUUCGCCUAAGGAUGGGUCUGCGGCCGAUUAGGUAGUUGGUUAGGUAAUGGCUUACCAAGCCUUUGAUCGGUACGGGUUGUGAGAGCAAGAGCCCGGAGAUGGAACCUGAGACAAGGUUCCAGGCCCUACGGGGUGCAGCAGGCGCGAAACCUCCGCAAUGUGAGAAAUCGCGACGGGGGGAUCCCAAGUGCCAUUCUUAACGGGAUGGCUUUUCAUUAGUGUAAAGAGCUUUUGGAAUAAGAGCUGGGCAAGACCGGUGCCAGCCGCCGCGGUAACACCGGCAGCUCUAGUGGUAGCAGUUUUUAUUGGGCCUAAAGCGUCCGUAGCCGGUUUAAUAAGUCUCUGGUGAAAUCCUGCAGCCUAACUGUGGGAAUUGCUGGAGAUACUAUUAGACUUGAGAUCGGGAGAGGUUAGAGGUACUCCCAGGGUAGAGGUGAAAUUCUGUAAUCCUGGGAGGACCGCCUGUUGCGAAGGCGUCUGACUGGAACGAUUCUGACGGUGAGGGACGAAAGCUAGGGGCGCGAACCGGAUUAGAUACCCGGGUAGUCCUAGCUGUAAACGAUGCGGACUUGGUGUUGGGGUGGCUUUGAGCUGUCCCAGUGCCGAAGGGAAGCUGUUAAGUCCGCCGCCUGGGAAGUACGGUCGCAAGACUGAAACUUAA